UCGGCCUGCCGCCGCCACGGGGGCCUCUGACACUGCGCGCCAGGCCAGGUUCCGGAAGGCAGCCUGCGCGGGCGGGGAGCGCGGGCCCGGGAGGCCCCCGCGCGCCGGGCUGCCUGCAGCAGGGGGCUCGCACGAACGUCUUCCCCCGCCAACCUCCCAGCGCUGGGGUGCGGGCUAGGACGGGGUGGGGGGACAGUGGCGCCCAGCGCGGAACAGCGCAGGAGCCGGGCGCAACGCCGCACGCGGGGACCCAGGUUGCUGGGGCUCUGUCUCUGUGUGAGCCAGCCUGCCGGAAGCCUCGUCUGGCAGAAGGUGACCCAGAGAAAGGAAUUCUAACGCUUCUCUCAGAGGUCAGCCGACUGUUUCUGUAACGGGGCAGAGAGGGGGUGUCUGGGGGUCUGUGUCACCGGGACUGAAGCCUGCCGUAGCAAUGCUGAGGCAGCCAGAGACGACUCGUAAGCAAACGGGCGCGCGGGGCUCCCGCAGAGCCCUGUUCGCAGCGCAGGUGGGCCUCGGCCGCCCCCUGCUCUGUGUGGGCCCUUGGCAGUCCCUCACCUGGAUGCCAGCCCAUCCUCAGCUGCAGCCCGUGCCAUGAAAUAUGUCUGUCCCGCCGGUGCCUGACUCUGGGCAGAGUUUCUCAGGGGCAAGACCCCACACCCCGCGCUCAGCCCCAGCCUGCAGGCUCGUCUUGCGCCGUCUUCCCGCCUUUCUCCCAUUUCACAGGCACAUAAACUGAGGCUCCAGCAGCCUGCCUCUUGUUCAGAGCCAGGCCAUGCGUAAGCGAGGGGGCUGGAAUCCAAGCCGGGGCUGCACCGUGGUGACCCCCGCCCCCAUCCCAGCGCACCUCUGCCUGGGCGCCCGCCCCCUCCCCGUGGCCCCAACCCCUCUGUCCACCUCCACUUCCUGUGGCCACUCAGGGAAUUUGCAUCUGGGGCCAAAGCAUGAGCGUCAGUGACUCCCGAGGCCCCCGUUCACUCUGGGACCCCCAAUAUUGUCGUGCACAGGAUACCUUCCAGCCAGCAACAGCCGGGGCCGAGGAGUUCGGGCUGGGGGGAGGGGAUAAUGAGGGCCCGUGAGACCCAGUGGCAGGUGCUAGGUCCUCUGCAAAGUGGGAUGAGCCGAGUCCUAACUGCCUUGUGGCUGUCUUUGCCGUGCACAAGCCCUGUGCGCAGAAUGUCCUGGAAAGCCCCCUUCGCGGUGGCUCCAUUGCCCUGUCCUAGGGGACAGGGCUGAGGCCCAGAGACACUGAGUCACCAUCUCAUGUUGCAGAGCCGAGUUCCAGGCCGCCACACGCACUGCCUUUGGUCACUCUGCUGGGCUGGAUAGUGUCCCCCAAACUCACGUCCUACCCAGACGCAGGGCCUUUGGAAA
rnacentral:lncRNA from 1 species